rnacentral:rRNA from 1 species
CUGUACAGCCAUACCACCCUGAAUGCGCCCAAUCUCGUCAUAUCUGAAGCUAAGCAGGGCUGGGCCUGUUAGUACUUGGAUGAGAAACCUCACAACAGACUUGCUUAUUACGUGGG